UGAGGAAUAUUGGACAAUGGGCGCAAGCCUGAUCCAGCCAUGCCGCGUGCAGGAUGACGGUCCUAUGGAUUGUAAACUGCUUUUGUACAGGAAGAAACAGUUCUACGUGUAGAACCUUGACGGUACUGUAAGAAUAAGGAUCGGCUAACUCCGUGCCAGCAGCCGCGGUAAUACGGAGGAUCCGAGCGUUAUCCGGAAUCAUUGGGUUUAAAGGGUCCGUAGGCGGUUAGAUAAGUCAGUGGUGAAAGCCCAUCGCUCAACGGUGGAACGGCCAUUGAUACUGUCUGACUUGAAUUAUUAGGAAGUAACUAGAAUAUGUAGUGUAGCGGUGAAAUGCUUAGAGAUUACAUGGAAUACCAAUUGCGAAGGCAGGUUACUACUAAUGGAUUGACGCUGAUGGACGAAAGCGUGGGUAGCGAACAGGAUUAGAUACCCCGGUAGUCCCUGAGCGGGCUGGCAAGGCGCAU
rnacentral:rRNA from 1 species